UUGAGCCGGAUGCUUGGAGACUUGCACGUCCGGUUCUGAGGCGGGAAGGGUAUUGUGAAGUACCUGACCUAGCCGAC
rnacentral:ncRNA from 2 species